CUAGCUUGCUAGAACCUACACACAGGUGCUGCACGGCUGUCGUCAGCUCGUGUCGUGAGAUGUUGGGUUAAGUCCCGCAACGAGCGCAACCCUCGUCCUUAGUUGCUAACAGUUCGGCUGAGCACUCUAGGGAGACUGCCUUCGCAAGGAGGAGGAAGGUGAGGACGACGUCAAGUCAUCAUGGCCCUUACGGCCAGGGCUACACACGUGCUACAAUGGGGCGUACAGAGAGCUGCGAUACCGCGAGGUGGAGCCAAUCUCUUAAAGCGUCUCUCAGUUCGGAUUGUUCUCUGCAACUCGACUCCAUGAAGCCGGAAUCGCUAGUAAUCGCGGAUCAGCAUGCCGCGGUGAAUACGUUCCCGGGCCUU
rnacentral:rRNA from 1 species